rnacentral:rRNA from 1 species
AGUGAACGCUGGCGGUAGGCCUAACACAUGCAAGUCGAACGGCAGCACAGUAAGAGCUUGCUCUUACGGGUGGCGAGUGGCGGACGGGUGAUGAAUACAUCGGAAUCUACUUUUUCGUGGGGGAUAACGUAGGGAAACUUACGCUAAUACCGCAUACGACCUACGGGGGAAAGCAGGGGAUCUUCGGACUUUGCGCGAGUGAAUGAGCCGAUGUCGGAUUAGCUAGUUGGCGGGGUAAAGGCCCACCAAGGCGACGAUCCGUAGCUGGUCUGAGAGGAUGAUCAGCCACACUGGAACUGAGACACGGUCCAGACUCCUACGGGAGGCAGCAGUGGGGAAUAUUGGACAAUGGGCGCAAGCCUGAUCCAGCCAUACCGCGUGGGUGAAGAAGGCCUUCGGGUUGUAAAGCCCUUUUGUUGGGAAAGAAAAGCAGCAGGUUAAUACCCCGCUGUUCUGACGGUACCCAAAGAAUAAGCACCGGCUAACUUCGUG